UACGGGGGGGGCAAGCGUUGUUCGGAAUUACUGGGCGUAAAGGGCUCGUAGGCGGCCAACUAAGUCAGACGUGAAAUCCCCAGGCUCAACCUGGGAACUGCGUCUGAUACUGGAUGGCUUGAAUCCGGGAGAGGGAUGCAGAAUUCCAGGUGUAGCGGUGAAAUGUGUAGAUAUCUGGAGGAAUACCGGUGGCGAAGGCGGCAUCCUGGACCGGCAUUGACGCUGAGGAGCGAAAGCCAGGGGAGCAAACGGG
rnacentral:rRNA from 1 species